GGUGUUGAGUGUCACAGAUGGGUAAUGGAGGAGGAGGUGAACACAGGGCAUGUGCAGGUUAACUUCAUGCUGUCAGAGUUAUGACCUGGUUCGACGUGUUGGUCCUCAACAAGAUGGACACUACCUACAAAGAGGAUGUGUGGAUUAAAGGGGAAAAUAUUUGAGAGCAGCAGAGGGUUGAGAGUGGAGCGACAGGGAAGGAGAAAGCAGGCCUUGAGUGAAAGAGGAAGGUAGGAGGUACAACUUGGGACUCAACAGUCAGGUGUCUGGGCUGAAGCAGAAGAGUAGAUCCACUUCUGGCAGGGCAGCCAAACAGAAUCAGCACGACUGUCUGUGCUGGAUACAUCAAACACAAGAAACGUCUCCAACAGAAGCGAAUCCAACUGAGCAACAGACCUGAUUCCACCUCUAAGGGUUCAUGUAGAGCUCAUUUAAACAUCAAUCAAUAUGCAGCCCUGAUUUAGAGCUAAAUCUUUGUCUAGGUUCAGCCCAAGGAAAGUGCCUGUUCUAAUGUGGUCUAAGAUUAGACGUAGAACUAAAAUUUCAUCUAGUCUUCAAAAAAGUCUUUAACUCUUGUAAAAAUUUUAAGUUGUAAUAUUGCAGUAAUAAAUUGCAAAGAAAUACAGUCUUUCUGUUUAUGUCAGAGCUUCAAGUUAAAUGAAUAGUGGUAAACUUAAAAACAUGGUUACAUAUUCAUGCAGUAAUGAAAGAUGGAAGCAACAUACAAUUUCAUCUUAAUGGUUAUUUGAUCUAGAUAGCCUCUGCACUUGUUUAUUAAAAUAAAAAUGAACUGUUAUUAA